rnacentral:misc_RNA from 1 species
UCCUCCGCUUAUUGAUAUGCUUAAGUUCAGCGGGUAUCCCUACCUGAUCCGAGGUCAACCUGAGAAAAAUAAGGUUGGAGACGCCGGCUGGCGCCCGGCCGGCCCUAAUCGAGCGGGUGACAAAGCCCCAUACGCUCGAGGACCGGACACGGUGCCGCCGCUGCCUUUCGGGCCCGUCCCCCGGGGGGGACGACGACCCAACACACAAGCCGGGCUUGAGGGCAGCAAUGACGCUCGGACAGGCAUGCCCCCCGGAAUGCCAGGGGGCGCAAUGUGCGUUCAAAGACUCGAUGAUUCACUGAAUUCUGCAAUUCACAUUACUUAUCGCAGUUCGCUGCGUUCUUCAUCGAUGCCGGAACCAAGAGAUCCAUUGUUGAAAGUUUUGACUGAUUUGUAUUCAGGCUCAGACUGCAUCACUCUCAGGCAUGAAGUUCAGUGGUCCCCGGCGGCUCGCCCCUGGGGGGCUCCCCGCCGAAGCAACAGUGUUAGGUAGUCGCGGGUGGGAGGUUGGGCGCCCGGAGGCAGCCCGCACUCGGUAAUGAUCCUUCCGCAAGGUUCACCUACGGA